AGUCAGUUCAAAGCUCCGACCUCCAAGAAAAAAAGUGCUUUGUAUAAUUAAUAGGAAUUUAAUGGCGUCUCUCAAAAUUCUAGAUUCCCUUCUAGAGCAGCGGAAAAGAGUUUUGAACAACAUAAAAGCUCUAGAAAUUGAAUAUUUCGGCUAUUAUGCUCGUCUACAGUUGGAGAGAAUGGAAUCUAAUUUCUUUUUGACGGCACAACUUUCUCCCCAAUGGUUUCUGGAAACUUUAAAGAUGUACAAUGUAUGUGAAGCAUUUUUAAAUGAAAACUUGGAUAAGUUUUAUGGUCACGAGGCCUUAUAUUCAGAAUAUAAAGAAAACUUGGCGAGUCUUCAUUGCUAUUUACUGGAAUUAUUAGAGACUCGCUCACAUAAAAACAAUGAAAAGAAAGAAAAAAAAGAAAAAAGGAAAGUUUUUAGGGGGAAUACCGAAGGAAGUUUACUUGAAGCUUAUAAUGUUUUAGAAAUUGGCGAAGACGAAAAGAGAGAGAAG